AGAGUUUGAUCCUGGCUCAGGAUGAACGCUAGCGGCAGGCUUAACACAUGCAAGUCGAGGGGCAACAGGUCACUUCGGUGAUGCUGGCGACCGGCGCACGGGUGAGUAACGCGUAUGGAACCUACCUACGACAGGGGUAUAGCCUUCGGAAACGAGGGUUAAUCCCCCAUACUAUCAUAGUGUGGCAUCACAUUGUGAUAAAAGCUCAGGCGGUUGUAGAUGGACAUGCGUACCAUUAGUUAGUUGGUGAGGUAAAGGCUCACCAAGGCGAUGAUGGUUAGGGGUCCUGAGAGGGCAGUCCCCCACACUGGUACUGAGACACGGACCAGACUCCUACGGGAGGCAGCAGUGAGGAAUAUUGGUCAAUGGGCGCUAGCCUGAACCAGCCAUGCCGCGUGCAGGAUGACUGCCCUACGGGUUGUAAACUGCUUUUCUACAGGAAAAAACUUCCCGACGUGUCGGGGACUGAUGGUACUGUAGGAAUAAGCAUCGGCUAACUCCGUGCCAGCAGCCGCGGUAAUACGGAGGAUGCAAGCGUUAUCCGGAUUCAUUGGGUUUAAAGGGUGCGUAGGCGGAUUUGUAAGUCAGUGGUGAAAUCUCCCGGCUCAACCGGGAAACUGCCAUUGAUACUGCAAAUCUUGAGUAUAGUUGUAGUGGGUGGAAUAUGGUAUGUAGCGGUGAAAUGCAUAGAUAUACCAUAGAACACCAAUCGCGAAGGCAGCUCACUAAGCUAUCACUGACGCUCAGGCACGAAAGCGUGGGGAGCAAACAGGAUUAGAUACCCUGGUAGUCCACGCUGUAAACGAUGAUCACUCGCUGUUGGCGAUACACUGUCAGCGGCUGAGCGAAAGCAUUAAGUGAUCCACCUGGGGAUUACGGCCGCAAGGUUGAAACUCAAAGGAAUUGACGGGGGCCCGCACAAGCGGUGGAGCAUGUGGUUUAAUUCGAUGAUACGCGAGGAACCUUACCUGGGCUUAAAUGCAGGACGACCGUUCCCGAAAGGGGACUUCCUUCGGACGGCCUGCAAGGUGCUGCAUGGUUGUCGUCAGCUCGUGCCGUGAGGUGUCGGGUUAAGUCCCAUAACGAGCGCAACCCCUAUUCUUAGUUGCCAUCAGGUAAUGCUGGGGACUCUAAGAAAACUGCCUACGCAAGUAGUGAGGAAGGUGGGGAUGACGUCAAAUCAGCACGGCCCUUAUGUCCAGGGCUACACACGUGCUACAAUGGCCGGAACAAAGGGUAGCUACUUCGUGAGUAGAUGCCAAUCUCGAAAUCCGGUCUCAGUUCGGAUCGAAGUCUGCAACUCGACUUCGUGAAGUUGGAAUCGCUAGUAAUCGCGCAUCAGCCACGGCGCGGUGAAUACGUUCCCGGGCCUUGUACACACCGCCCGUCAAGCCAUGGAAGCUUGGGGUACCUGAAGUCCGUAACCGCAAGGAGCGGCCUAGGGUAAAACAAGUAACUGGGGCUAAGUCGUAACAAGGUAACC
rnacentral:rRNA from 1 species